rfam:Myotis davidii contig23608, whole genome shotgun sequence.
GAGACACCUUUAUGGGAUGGGACUUGCUUUAGUGGGGCGUUGGCGCUCACUGAGUCUGCCCCCUGAAUGUGUCUCU